rnacentral:rRNA from 1 species
CAGUCGCCGCGGGAAUACGAAGGGGGCUAGCGUUGUUCGGAUUUACUGGGCGUAAAGCGCACGUAGGCGGACUUUUAAGUCAGGGGUGAAAUCCCGGGGCUCAACCCCGGAACUGCCUUUGAUACUGGAAGUCUUGAGUAUGGUAGAGGUGAGUGGAAUUCCGAGUGUAGAGGUGAAAUUCGUAGAUAUUCGGAGGAACACCAGUGGCGAAGGCGGCUCACUGGACCAUUACUGACGCUGAGGUGCGAAAGCGUGGGGAGCAAACAGGAUUAGAUACCCCGGUAGUCCCUGUCUCUUAUAC